UGGGGAAUUUUGGACAAUGGGCGCAAGCCUGAUCCAGCCAUGCCGCGUGCAGGAUGAAGGCCUUCGGGUUGUAAACUGCUUUUGUACGGAACGAAAAGGUGCCUUCUAAUAAAGGGCGCUCAUGACGGUACCGUAAGAAUAAGCACCGGCUAACUACGUGCCAGCAGCCGCGGUAAUACGUAGGGUGCGAGCGUUAAUCGGCAUUACUGGGCGUAAAGCGUGCGCAGGCGGUUUUGUAAGACAGAGGUGAAAUCCCCGGGCUCAACCUGGGAACUGCCUUUGUGACUGCAAGGCUGGAGUGCGGCAGAGGGGGAUGGAAUUCCGCGUGUAGCAGUGAAAUGCGUAGAUAUGCGGAGGAACACCGAUGGCGAAGGCAAUCCCCUGGGCCUGCACUGACGCUCAUGCACGAAAGCGUGGGGAGCAAACA
rnacentral:rRNA from 1 species